rnacentral:rRNA from 1 species
CCUACGGGCGGCUGCAGUGGGGAAUAUUGGACAAUGGGGGCAACCCUGAUCCAGCCAUGCCGCGUGUGUGAAGAAGGCCCUCGGGUUGUAAAGCACUUUCAGUGAGGAAGAACGCCUGGUGGUUAAUACCCAUCAGGAAAGACAUCACUCACAGAAGAAGCACCGGCUAACUCCGUGCCAGCAGCCGCGGUAAUACGGAGGGUGCGAGCGUUAAUCGGAAUUACUGGGCGUAAAGCGCGCGUAGGUGGCUUGAUAAGCCGGUUGUGAAAGCCCCGGGCUCAACCUGGGAACGGCAUCCGGAACUGUCAAGCUAGAGUGCAGGAGAGGAAGGUAGAAUUCCCGGUGUAGCGGUGAAAUGCGUAGAGAUCGGGAGGAAUACCAGUGGCGAAGGCGGCCUUCUGGACUGACACUGCCACUGAGGUGCGAAAGCGUGGGUAGCAAACAGGAUUAGAUACCCCAGUAGUC